GACGAACGCUGGCGGCGUGCUUAACACAUGCAAGUCGAACGGAAAGGCCCUGCUUUUGUGGGGUGCUCGAGUGGCGAACGGGUGAGUAACACGUGAGUAACCUGCCCUUGACUUUGGGAUAACUUCAGGAAACUGGGGCUAAUACCGGAUAGGAGCUCCUGCUGCAUGGUGGGGUGAAGUUUCGGCGUUGGGAUGGACUCGCGGCUUAUCAGCUUGUUGGUGGGGUAGUGGCUUACCAAGGCUU
rnacentral:rRNA from 1 species